AUACGGAGGAUCCGAGCGUUAUCCGGAUUUAUUGGGUUUAAAGGGUGCGCAGGCGGCCAUUUAAGUCAGCGGUUAAAUCGUGGGGCUCAACCCCACUCUGCCGUUGAUACUGGGUGGCUUGAUUGCGGUCGAGGUUGGCGGAAUUCGUUGUGUAGCGGUGAAAUGCAUAGAUAUGACGAAGAACACCGAUUGCGUAGGCAGCUGACCAGACCGCAAAUGACGCUCAUGCACGAAAGUGCGGGGAUCGAACAGGAUUAGAUACCCUGGUAGUCCGCACAGUAAACGAUGAAUACUUGUUUUCGGCGAUAUAAUGUCGGAGGCAAAGCGAAAGCGAUAAGUAUUCCACCUGGGGAGUACGCCGGCAACGGUGAAACUCAAAUGAAUUGGCGGGG
rnacentral:rRNA from 1 species